rnacentral:rRNA from 1 species
CCUAGUAACUGCGAGUGAAGCGGGAAAAGCUCAAAUUUAAAAUCUGACGGCUCUGUCGUCCGAGUUGUAAUCUGGAGAAGCGUUUUCCGCGUCGGACCGUGUACAAGUCUCUUGGAAUAGAGCGUCAUAGAGGGUGAGAAUCCCGUAUAUGGCACGGACAGCCGAUGCUCUGUGAUACGCUCUCGAAGAGUCGAGUUGUUUGGGAAUGCAGCUCAAAAGGGGUGGUAAAUUCCAUCUAAAGCUAAAUAUAGGCGAGAGACCGAUAGCGAACAAGUACCGUGAGGGAAAGAUGAAAAGCACUUUGGAAAGAGAGUUAAACAGUACGUGAAAUUGUUGAAAGGGAAACGCUUGAAGUCAGUCGCGUCUGCCGAGACUCAGCCUUACCUCGGUUUGGUGUACUUCUCGGUUGGACGGGUCAACAUCGGUUUUGACCGACGGAUAAGGGAGGAUUGAAUGUGGCACCCUCGGGUGUGUUAUAGCUUUUCUUCGUAUACGCCGGUGGGGACCGAGGACUGCAGCGCGCCCUUGUGGCCGAGGCUUUGCCUACGUAACGCGCUUAGGAUGUUGACAUAAUGGCUUUAAGCGACCCGUCUUGAAACACGGACCAAGGAGUCUAACAUGCUCGCGAGUGUUAGGGUGGAAAACCCUUGCGCGGAAUGAAAGUGAAAGUUGGGACCUCUGCGAGGAGGGCACCGACGCCCGGCCCUGAAGUUCUCUGACGGUGCUGCGGUAGAGCGCGUAUGUUGUGACCCGAAAGAUGGUGAACUAUGCCUGAAUAGGGCGAAGCCAGAGGAAACUCUGGUGGAGGCUCGU